rnacentral:lncRNA from 1 species
CUUGAACAUACUUUUCUUUUCCUUUAUGAGGAUGUUAAUGAAACUGCAGCUGCUGAGGAAGCGUCUCCUAUCUCAUAGAAAGAUUGAAAAGAAAGCUCUGAUUUCGGAGAUGUGCUGGUAACUGGAAAUCAGCCUGCUGGGAUGUUUUACACCAUGGAAAUCAACAGAUAUUAUCAGUUGGGACUUUACCUGUUUUGUGGAUUAUCUAGAUUUAAGAACAUCUUGAAGAAAACAAGUGUGAUGUAUCUGUAACUAUUAUACUGUGAAUAGCCUGAAAUAUUAAAGAAAUAUUCUUCUGGUAUUUGAAAACUAUUAUCUGCUUCAGCAAACUAGUUGCUCAUGUCAUUGACAUCUGAGCAAUGUUUUGACAUACUUUUCCUUACUUCAUGAAAAGAAAAGAACCAAGUUUAGGGAAGGACUAUACUCAUUGGUCAAUGGUAUGAAUGAUUUCUGUGAUGAAAUGGAUAGUAAUCAGUUAUUUGCAGUUUGAUUUUGUAACACUAUUGUUGGCAAUAAAAUUAUAAAAAUAAACAG